rnacentral:lncRNA from 1 species
GAUUUUAUCACUUCCCAGCUUCUACUUCACUCCCAACCCGACGACUUCACUUUCUUAAGGUCCGUGUUAAUUCGUCAGGAGGAACGACACGGAGCGCAGGAAGCCGCAGCCACCAGCGCGAGAGAGCUGCGAGCGUGAGGGGAGACCGAACUUUGUGUCUGGAAAUUCCCUCAUUUCUCCUCUGCAUCUCCACUGAUUCCUCAAGCCUGAGGAUACAAAGUGAUUUUCCUGGUCACCAGAAUCAAGGGUGGCCCGUUCUUAGACUGACUAAAGACCUACAUCUCGAAAAGAUGAGCUGAGCCGAUCGGUUUUGGAAUUUGGAACCAGGAGACUCAGAGAUGAAGCCAGUGAAGGAAGCCAGGUUGAGUACGGUCAGAGGAACACAUGUGAGGUAGAGCAGAGGAAGGACGACGUUUGGAUGUGCGCAAACCAAGGUAUGGGUAUGAGGUACGAGACAGGAAAAUCUAUGUGGAAGGGAAGAACGUAGUCCCGUAGC